GAUGAACGCUGGCGGCGUGCCUAAUACAUGCAAGUCGAGCGAAUGGAUUAAGAGCUUGCUCUUGUGAAGUUAGCGGCGGACGGGUGAGUAACACGUGGGUAACCUGCCCAUAAGACUGGGAUAACUCCGGGAAACCGGGGCUAAUAUCGGAUAACAUUUUGAACCGCAUGGUUCGAAAUUGAAAGGCGGCUUCGGCUGUCACUUAUGGAUGGACCGGCGUCGCAUUAGCUAGUUGGGGAGGUAACGGCUCACCAAGGCAACGAUACGUAGCCGACCUGAGAGGGUGAUCGGCCACACUGGGACUGAGACACGGCCCAGACUCCUACGGGAGGCAGCAGUAGGGAAUCUUCCGCAAUGGACGAAAGUCUGACGGAGCAACGCCGCGUGAGUGAUGAAGGCUUUCGGGUCGUAAAACUCUGUUGUUAGGGAAGAACAAGUGCUAGUUGAAUGAGCUGGCACCUUGACGGUACCUAACCAGAAAGCCACGGCUAACUACGUGCCAGCCGCCGCCGUAA
rnacentral:rRNA from 1 species